rnacentral:rRNA from 1 species
UGGGGAAUCUUGCACAAUGGGGGGCAACCCUGAUGCAGCGACGCCGCGUGAGCGAUGAAGCCCUUCGGGGUGUAAAGCUCUUUUCGGCAGGGAAGAUAAUGACGGUACCUGCAGAAUCAGCUGCGGCUAACUACGUGCCAGCAGCCGCGGUAAUACGUAGGCAGCGAGCGUUGUUCGGAGUUACUGGGCGUAAAGGGUGUGUAGGCGGUGCUCUAAGUGUGGUGUGAAAUCUCCCGGCUCAACUGGGAGGGUGCGCUACGAACUGGAGUGCUCGAGUGCGGGAUGGGAGAGUGGAAUUCCUGGUGUAGCGGUGAAAUGCGUUGAUAUCAGGAGGAACACCGGUGGUGUAGACGGCUCUCUGGACCGCAACUGACGCUGAGACACGAAAGCGUGGGUAGCAAACAGGAUUAGAUACCCCUGUAGUCCCUGAGCGGGCUGGCAAGGCGCAU